ensembl:misc_RNA Metazoa_SRP Metazoan signal recognition particle RNA
GCUGGGCGUGGUGGCGUGCCCCUGUAAUCCCAGCUACUUGGAAGGCUGAGGUGGGAGAAUUGCUUGAACCCAGGAGGUGGAGGCUGCAGUGAGCCAAGAUCGCACCACUACACUCCAGCCUGGGUGACAGAGCAAGACCCCAUCUCAA